AGUCCCGGCCGCCGGAUGGGCCCCCGCACUCCUAUACACACGUGCGCGCCCCAGCCGGGCUCCGCCCGCUCCCCGGCGCCGGGAUCGCGUCGGGCGAGAGGCUCCUGCUUCUCCGAGGGUCGCGCGGCCGCCAGGCGCCGGCUCGGGGCUUGCCGCCAACCUCCGGGUGUGGAGAGCCGCCCUCCCCGCCGCGCGGCCCUGGCCCGCCUCUGCCCUCCGUCCCCGGCGCUCGGCGCUCGGUACCGAACUCGGACAGCCGGGCGCCGCGCACCACCCCGCAACCCGAUCCCGCCCCCAGUCCCCACGAGUCGCGGUCCCUCCCGGCCGCCUGGCCGGCCCCCGGGAGGGGACAAGCCGCGCGAACGGGGAGGAAGUGGGGGAGCGCUGAGGACGCUCUCGCCACCCACCGUACUGUCCUCCCCAACCAAGCAUAUUAUUUCCUAAUCAGGUUUCCACACCUUUCAGGGUUGCAAAACCGCCAAAGGAGCAGAUUCCAUCACAGCGGGGCCAGGGGUGCGAUGAGAUUUGGGACCACAAUAUGGUGAGGGGUUUCCUGCUCCUGGUCUGAGAUUUUCAGAGCAGAGAGAGACCCAGAAGAAUUCUGCCAGGUCUAAAGGAACCCCCAGGGACGCCUGCGUGACUCAGUGGAUUAAAGCGUCUGCCUUGGGCUCAGGUCAUGAUCCCAGGGUCCUGGGAUGGAGCCCCCGCCCCUCCCCGCAUCAUUAGCUCAGCAGGGAGCCUGCUUCCUCCUCUCUCUCUCUGCCUGCCUCUCUGCCUGCUUGUGAUCUCUGUCAAAUAAAUAAAUAAAAUCUUAAAAAAAAAAAAAAAAAGGGGAGGAACCCCCAAACCCAUUCCUCUCUCCAGGAGCCGAAUUGCAGAGCCCAGCGCAUCCCUGUUUCCUGAGAAUCUCUCAGUGUUCAACCUGACCCCAUUGUACCAGGGCACCUUCCUUCUUUUUGUUGCUUCAACGCAGGUGCACUAGUCCCUGUGCCUCCGAGGUCCCCCGAAGGUCUUCACUAUGCGAUCGCCAUUUUGAGCGUCCCUCCACCCAGGCUGUAAUGCAGUCUUCAUAUUUGACCUUAUCACCUGCCUGUAUUCCAUUCUACUGUUUGUGUCAUGGGCCAAUAUCGUCCAGUCAUUAUAACGGGAAGCGUGAAAGGAAGAGCGGUUUAGGAGGUCCUAAGCAUCGGUGGCGCCUAACUGUCAUGAUCUCAGGGUCCCCCGGAUCAAGCCGCACAUGGGCUCUCUGCUCAGCAGGGAGUCUGCUUCUCCUCUGUCUCUGCCUGCUGCUCUGCCUACUUGUGAUCUCUCUCUGUGUAUCAAAAAAAUAAGUAAAAUUAAAAAAAAAAAAAGCCUCGAAUAGUAUCGUUGACAAGUUUUUGUUCCAAGAUUUUAUUUUUAUUUGUUUAUAUUUAUUUUUAAGCGGUCUCUACACCUAAGGUAGGGCUUGGACCACAACCCGCGAGAUCAAGAGUCGCUGGCUCCGCAGAUUGAGCCAGCCGGGUGCCCUGAUUGGGACAAAGUCAAAUGACACAAUGAAUCAUGGUUAUGAGCAGAAUCCUCUUCCCCUGCAAUUCUUAGGUGGAAGUCCCAACUUUGGGUCCUCAGGAUCUGACUGCAUUCAGAGAGAGGGUCUCUGAACAGGUGACUGAUAAAAAAAACGAGGCUGUUAGGGUGAGCCCUCACCAGUCUAAGUGGUGCCCUUGUAAGAAGGAAGUUGGACACGCAGAGACACAAAGACCAUGUGAGGACACAGCAAGAAGGCGGCCAUAUGCAAGCCAAGGCCAGAGGCCCUGGAGAAAACUAGAUCUGCCAACACCCUGAUUUUGGACUUGCAGAACUGUGAGAAAAUAAAUCUCUGUUGUUUAAGCCACCGAUUCCAUAGGAUUUAUGUAUAGCAGUCCUGGCAAGCUCAUACAACACCCUCUCCCCAGCCCUAAUCUGCGGAAGU